UACGUAGGGUCCGAGCGUUGUCCGGAAUUACUGGGCGUAAAGAGCUCGUAGGUGGUUUGUCGCGUUGUUCGUGAAAACUCACAGCUCAACUGUGGGCGUGCGGGCGAUACGGGGCAGACUUGAGUACUGCAGGGGAGACUGGAAGUUCCUGGUGGUAGCGGUGGAAUGCGCAGAUAUCCGGAGGAACACCGGUGGCGAAGGCGGGUCACUGGGCAGUAACUGGACGGCUGAGG
rnacentral:rRNA from 1 species